rnacentral:rRNA from 1 species
UACGUAGGGGGCAAGCGUUGUCCGGAUUUAUUGGGCGUAAAGAGCGUGUAGGCGGUUUGGUAGGUCCGUUGUGAAAACUCGAGGCUCAACCUCGAGACGCCGAUGGAAACCAUCAGACUAGAGUCCGGAAGAGGAGAGUGGAAUUCCUGGUGUAGCGGUGAAAUGCGCAGAUAUCAGGAGGAACACCAGUGGCGAAGGCGGUGCUCUGGGCCGGAACUGACGCUGAGGAGCGAAAGCGUGGGGAGCAAACAGG